UGGGGAAUAUUGGACAAUGGGCGCAAGCCUGAUCCAGCCAUGCCGCGUGAGUGACGAAGGCCUUAGGGUUGUAAAGCUCUUUUGGCGGGGAAGAUAAUGACGGUACCCGCAGAAUAAGCUCCGGCUAACUUCGUGCCAGCAGCCGCGGUAAUACGAAGGGAGCUAGCGUUGUUCGGAAUCACUGGGCGUAAAGCGCACGUAGGUGGGCAGUUAAGUCAGGGGUGAAAGCCCGAGGCUCAACCUCGGAAUUGCCUCUGAUACUGGCUGUCUAGAGUUCGAGAGAGGUGAGUGGAAUUCCUAGUGUAGAGGUGAAAUUCGUAGAUAUUAGGAAGAACACCGGUGGCGAAGGCGGCUCACUGGCUCGAUACUGACACUGAGGUGCGAAAGCCAGGGGAGCAAACGGGAUUAGAUACCCCAGUAGUCCCUGAGCGGGCUGGCAAGGCGCAU
rnacentral:rRNA from 1 species